CUCCUUUCCUCCUCCCAUUUUCUUCACACAAAAACUCUCCAAAACCUUCCUCCCUCUCUUCCGUUCCUUCUCCUCCACCAUAACCACCACAUUUCUGGGAGUUACUAUUCAUCCUGGAUACUAUUCACCCUUCUAGGCCACUAUUCAUACCUGCUGAUCACUUGUCACUAGUCGUCUAAAAUCACUAUUCACUCCAAAAUCGAUCCUCGUGGUCACUAUUCAUAGUUUUGUGCAACUUUCAUCCCGGGGGUACUAUUCAUCACAGUAUUUUACCGAGGGAUGGAACAUCAAGGAUUGUUGGGACAUUUUUUUUAACAUUUAAGAGCAUAUAUGGACCAUAUUGCGAUUACUGGAGACUUCAAGGACUUAUUGAUAAUUAUUGAAUAGUUUGAGGAUUGAAUUAUAAUUUGGACAAAGUUGAAGCAGCAAAGUGCAAUUAAAAAUAGGUUUAAGGGCCAAAUUAAAAAUAAAGGAAAGUACAAAGAUGAAAGUGAAAUUAUGGACAAGUAUGAGGACCAAGGUGCAAUUAAAGAUAAAUACUAGGACUAAAAUACAAAUAAGGAUUUUUGGUAACAUGUUUGAACGUUGGACUAGGAAUUAGUUGCCCAGGCAAGGACAGUUGAGCUCAAAGGCGUAAGAGGCAAGUUAGACAUAAGUUUUGGAUUCCAGGUAGGGGGACUCAUUCCCGAACUUGUAUUUUCGUGUAAAUAUGACAUAGUAAAUAUUGUCAUAUGCAAAAGCUACAUUGUUUUUGGAUGCCAUGUUUGUGUGGUUUUUAUGAAUUCUUGGCUUUGGAUAUUUCCAAAGUUUUGGAGGGUAUACGCCUGCGAGCAUUAUCCUUGAUGACUUGAGGGUGAAAGGGGCACAACAACUUCCCUAGGUUUCGAUCCCCUAACCUCUGGAGGGGCUACAUAGAUCGACUUUUCCAAUACCCUAAACGUGAGGUCUAGUUGAAGUAGUGUAGCCAAUAAAUAAACACUCUCACUACCAUACCAGGUGAGUUGGUUAUAUUUUUAUUGCUGGUAGGGGUUGUUGGCCUAUAAGGAUUAGUCAUUAGACAAACAUAUACAGGAACUCCGAAAGAUGUUUCUGAAAGUUGUGUGAACAUGCCAACUGUUUUGGAUCCUAUACUUAUAUGGAAAUGGUUUUAUGUAGAUCAUAUCCUUGGGUUGAUAUCUUGUCACGACUUCCCAACUUGUCAACAUCUUGAUUAUGAUCCACAUCAACUUCAACAUGUUGUAACAUUAAGCUAAAGCAGCUGCCUUGAUUCGUCUCCAUUUCCAUAAUUGCUUUGUUCAGCAGCAGAUUGCCAAUGGCAUUGAGCACCCAAAGAGCCUCUGCCUUUCUUUCUUCAGCUGCUCAGUUGGGUCCUCAACAGAACCACGAUGUGUUUUUGAGUUUCAGGGGUGUAGACACUAGAAAUAGCUUUGUAUCCCAUUUAUACCACGAAUUGCAGCACAGGGGAAUUAAAACAUUCAAGGAUGAUCCAAAGCUUGAAAGAGGGACAACCAUUUCUUCAGAGCUCUUCAAUGCAAUUGAAGAAUCAAGGCUUGCAAUCAUUGUUCUCUCGCCAAACUAUGCUUCUUCUUCCUGGUGCUUGGAUGAACUUACAAAGAUUCUACAAUGCAUGAAAUCCAAGGGCACAAUUCUGCCAGUGUUUUAUAAUGUGGAUCCGGCCGAUGUAAGAACACAGAGGGGUAAUUUUGGGUGCGCGUUCACUGAGUAUGAGGAAAGGUUUAGGAAAGACAUAGAAAAGGUGAAGCGAUGGAGAGCUGCUUUAACAGAAGUGGCCAAUUUAUCUGGGUUAGAUUCAAAGAAUGAGUGUGAAAGAAAGCUUAUUGAAAAGAUUGUUGAAUGGGUGUGGAGGAAAGUGCAUCACACAUUGAAAUUGUUAGAUUCCACGGAGUUGGUGGGACUUAAGUUUGUGAGUAAACAAGUAGAUUUGCUUCUAGCUCCUGAUGCAGAUGAUGUUCGCUUUAUAGGGAUAUGGGGGAUGGGGGGCAUUGGCAAGACAACCAUUGCCAAGCUAGUUCAUGAUAGCGUUGGUAUUCAUUUUGAAGUUAGCUGCUUUCUUGCUAAUAUUAGAGAGGUUUCUGAACGGGGUAAUCUUGUUGAUCUACAAAGAAAGCUCCUUUUUCCGAUCUUGAAGCAACAAAUUACUCAUGUUUGGGAUGAACAGUCAGGAACCUAUUUCAUUAAGAAUUGCUUAUGCAAUAAAAAGGUUCUUCUCAUUCUUGAUGAUGUGAAUGAUUCAUGCCAACUAGAAAAAUUGGUUGGAGAAAAGGAUUGGUUUGGGAAGGGGAGUAUAAUCAUCAUUACAACUAGAGAUGAACGUUUGCUAGUCAAGCAUGAUAUACAUAUAUCAUAUAAGGUAGAGGCAUUAGGUGAUGAUGAUGCUCUUGAGCUCUUCAGUCAGAAUGCCUUCAAAAAAAAAAUUCCAGACGAAGGUUUUUGGGAAUUGUCUAAGAGUUUUGUAAACUAUGCCAGAGGCCUUCCACUAGCUCUUAAACUUUUGGGAUGCUUGGUGUAUAAGAGAGAUCAAGAUGAAUGGAAAAGUGAAUUGGAGAAGCUACGGAAAAAUCUUGAGCCAAAAGUUUUCGAUUUGCUCAAACUAAGUUAUGAUGGACUAGAUGAGAUGAACAAGAAUAUAUUUCUUGAUGUUGCAUUUUUCCAUAAGGGGAAAGAUAAGAAGCAAGUAAUUGAAAUACUAGACAGAUGUGGCCUAUGCGGUUGUAUUGGGAUAGAUGCUCUUGUUCAGAAAUCACUCUUAACUAAUAUUUCAGACAACAUUGUUGGGAUGCAUGAUUUGAUACAAGAAAUGGCAUUUGAAAUUGUUCAUCGAGAGUGUCCUGAAGAGCCUGGUAGACGCAGUCGAUUGUGCAAUCAUGAUGAUAUCUCUCAUGUAUUCAUAAACAAUACGGCAACAAACAAAAUUCAAGGCAUUGCCUUACGCAUGGGGAGACUUGAAAAGGCAGAUUGGAAUUGUGAAGCCUUCUCCAGGAUGUAUAACCUGAAGUAUCUUGAAUUUUAUAAUGUGAUCAUUUCUUCAAGCCCGAGAAGACUUCCUAAUUCCUUAAGAAUUAUCAAAUGGAGUGGUUAUCCUUCCAGAUUUCUCCCACCAGGUUUUCAACCGAAUUUCCUUAUUUCACUUGAGAUGCGUGACAACAAACUUGUUCGGCUAUGGGAUGGGAGAAAGGACUUGCCCAACUUGAAAAAAAUGGACCUUUGUUACUCCGAAAACUUGACCGCAACCCCAGAUUUCACUGGCAUUCCGAAACUUGAGCAGUUGAAAUUUGAAAGAUGUGAGAAUUUAGUUGAGAUUCAUCCGUCAAUUGCAUUUCUCAAAUGGCUUAAAUAUUUAAAUCUGAAUGGAUGCAAAAAUGUUAAGAGUCUUCCAAGGGAAGUAGAAAUGGAUUCUCUUGCAUAUUUCAGUCUUGAGAGUUGCUCAAAAGUGAAAACGAUUCCAGAAUUUUCUGGACAAAUGAAGAAUUUGUCAUCACUUAAUUUAAAUGAGACGUCCAUUGAGAAAUUACCUUCAUCGAUUGGACGUUUGGUUGGCCUUACUUCUCUGAAUAUAAGGGAUUGCAAAAAUCUUUUGGGUCUUCCAAGUGCAAUUUGUAAUUUGAAGUCUCUUGAAUGGCUCAAUGCGAAUGGAUGCUCAAACAUUGACAAACUCCCAGAAAGCUUGGGGGAGAUGGAGUGUAUAGAGUGGCUUUUUCUAGGUGGAACUGCUAUAAGACAGGUGCCAUGGUCCAUUGUUCGUUUGAAAAACCUCAAAUAUCUAGAUUUUGGUGGAUGUGGAUCACAGCUCAAAUAUCAAAGAAAUGGUUUUGUGUUGGAUUCGCUAGAUGGUUUAUUGUCUUUGACGAGAUUGGAUCUGAGUGAUUGUGGUCUUUGUGAAGGGGAUAUUCCGGGUGAUAUUGGCUGCUUGUCCUCUUUAGUAGAAUUAAAGCUUAGUGGAAACAAUUUUGUUAGCCUUCCUGCGAGCAUUAGAUGUCUUUCUAAGCUUAGGUUAUUUCGCGUGAACAUGUGCCAAAGGCUUCAACAAUUGCCCCAUCUUCCAUCAAAUAGCACACUAGAUAUAAACACAGACAAUUGCACUUCCUUAAAAAUGCUAUCAGGUCUGCUAAAGUGGAGCAGAAACGGAGAAAUAGAAAUGUAUACUUUUACUUUGCGUUCUGCCAAUUGUUUUGGAUUGGUCAACAAUGAAGGCUGUGAUAGUUUAACACUUCGAAUGCUACGGAGAUUCCUUCAGGGGUUUGUUGGCCAAUUAAAAAUUGUAAUUCCUGGAAAGAAAAUUCCAGAGUGGUUCAGUAAUCAAAGUGUGGGUGACUCAUUAACUGUGGAGCUACCUCCGGAUUCAUGUAGCACGUGGAUAGGGAUUGCUUUUUGUGCUGUGUUUAGAGAAAAUCAGACAAAUCCAGCUGAUGACCUUUCUGAAUUUCCUUGUUUUCGAAUUGAUUGUUCCGCAGGAGGAGAAUUCCUUGCGCGUAGUGAUACUUUUAAAAGAGGCAAUGUUGUGUCAGAUCACCUCUGGGUAAUUUAUGUAUCCCGUGAAAAACUGAAGAGGAAAUGUGGUCAGAUAAAGGUUUUGUUAGAAACUUAUUAUAGCCAAUAUUCAGAAUGGUCACCCAGAAAAUAUUGCUCGAGUGUGAAGAAGUGUGGUUUGCGUUUGGUGCUGGAGCAAGAUGUGGAAGAACUCAACCAAAUCAUGAUGGACAAAUCCAUCAUCACCAGCACUACUACUUCUCCUUCCAAUUCAGCAGAUACACAAGGUCAACAGCGCGACGUCGAUGAUGGGGCAGAUCCAAAGUGGUAGUCCUCACCAAAAAUCUCUCUGUUGCAAAAACUAUGCUCAUUCCAGAGGAGCAGAUCAAGAUGAACUAAAUGAUGAUUAUGAUGAUGUUGGUGAUGAAGCUAGACCCAGAAAAAGAAAGAAUAUUGAUGUGAUUGGGGCUAACCUAUGAUUAUUCCUCGCUUUUGAAGCUAGAGGCGUCACAUCUGCUGCAUUUCAAUGAGCAAAUCUGAAUUUUUUUAUUUGGAAGGUAACCACUUUGAUUUCCUACUUAGGCCUUACGUCCUCUUAUUUUUCGCUAUUGUUGAAAAGUUCAAUAAAAACUGUUAUUCUUAAAAGAGGAGCUAAAUUUUUAUUAACUUUGUUUAAAAAAAAAAGUCCUUAAAUGUCUGCACAUAAGACUUGAGAUGCGAAAAACGCUCCCAGCACUCUAUCAAAUGUCUCACAAUUGAUAGUAGUAAGUUACCGCCAUCUGUCUCCCAGCAUUUCUCAUUAGAUUCAUCUCUUAUUAUUGUUUGAUUACAAUUCAUCACUUUGUUAUAAGGAUCUGUUUGGCCGCACCAGUUUUACAAGGUUCUUUUCUAAUACAUUGCAUUUAAUUGUGUGAGGCACCUUACUACUGCUAAUGUUGGAUGAGGGACUUCAAAGUCGAUUCCACAAUCUUCAUCGGGUUGUUGGGGUUCAUAAAUAUCUUCCUCGAAUUCGCCUUGAUUGUCAGCUUGUUCGUUAAUGCGUGCACACAGAUUUCUUGUUGCCUCCUUCGUUGGGCAUUGGACAGCAAAGUGUCCAAAACCUUGGCAUCUGUAACAUCUUUGCGUUCCACCACCACGUGUACCAACUAGCACUCCUUUUCCUUUGGCAAUUUUUACUAAAUUAGUCAUAGAUGUUGGAGAAUCAGUUUGAUUGUCUACAUUGGACGACUUUAAAUACUUCUCUAAUUCUUGUACCAUCUGAAAAACCCUCUCUAAAGUAUUCACGUUGUGAGGAAUUAAUUCUCUUCCAAGCUCUGGAUGAAGUCCUGAUCUAAACCGAGAAAGAGUCAUCCGUCGAUCUUUCCUUAUGUCACAUCGCAGCAUGAAUUCCUCGAAUUUUGCAAUAUAUUUAGCAACUUUGUCUUGACGAAGAGUUUGCCAAUCGUCCAAUAAACUCUAUUGAUAGGAUAAUGGUAGAUAUUUCUACUUCAGCCUUUCUUUCAUGUCACCCCAAUGGAUGAUUGGUUCUUCACCAGCUCUCUCUAGUUGUGUUUCAACAUUUGUCCAAAACAAUCCAGCUUGACCCACCAAUUUUAUCUUAGCAAAUCUCACCCUUCAAGCUUUAGACAUGUCAUGCCACUCAAAAUAGCGAUCCAUGGUAGCUAACCAGUCUGGAGUGCUUUAGGAUUUAGUUCACCAUCAAAAUUAGGAGCGUCAAUUUUCACUGAUCUCAUCACCCUUUCAUCAAGGUCUUGCUCAUAACCACGAUGAAAAUUGUCUCUCUGCGUCUUGAUCAUUCCUUCUAUCAUGACGUUGUCGAUCAUGAUUCCUCUCUUCUCCAUUCACACUUGCUUCAUCAUGUUGGUUAGCUGCUUCUAAGUCUGCAAGGCGACGUUCCAUGAGUCUGGAUCUAGUGUUCGAAUCUGCCACUUACUUUGAUAGGUUUUCCAUCAUCUGAACAAGACGUUUAAAGUCUGUCUUUGGCUCGUCUGUAUUUCUAGGCAUAGUUGGAGCCAUCACUUGACACACGACAUGAAGAACAAGAAACACUCGAAAAUUUUGAACCCAAGGAAAACGAAAACCAGGUUCUGAUGCCAAAUUUGAUGUAGGAUAUGGGUGAGUUUAGUAUUUAGGUAGUUAGCAGAAGCGAAAACACUGGAAAACAGAAAAUAGAACAAAAGGGAUAGGUCUGGAAUCACUCUUGGGGUUUGGCUUCAUACCAAGUAGUCUCCAAUCUCUAGAAAAUAAACUUUUCUUUAUAUCUCAACAACUGAAUUUUAAAGAACUACAUAGGGGGUAUUUAUAGCAAACUAAAACCUAGAGACAAUAAGAUAAAAAUCCCUUACUAGAACAGAAAUCCUAAUCCACCAAGGAACUAAUUCAAAUAAACUAGGAAACUUAAAUCAAAUCCUACUAAAAUCUGGAAACUAAAAUCCUAGUAAAAUCAUGUAAACUAGAGAAUCUAAGAAACUAAUAAAUUAGGAAACUAACUAAUGAUGUCCGCAUCAGAGUGGUGGCAUUCAACAUGUUUCAAUUUGUUCUCUAUUAGGUAGGAGAGAGGAGAACAAAUCUCUUGCUACAUUUUGUUUGUUUUUUCCAUUGAAAAAUACAAAUAAGCAGGAUGUCUGUUGCAAUUCACAUUUUGCUGUGUUGUAAAUCUUGUGUUGUUAUUCCAAUCACUCAUAAAUAAAACAUAUUGUAAUUUUUUUAAUAGAUUGUGUUUGUUAGUUUGUAUGCUUGUAUCUUAUUGGCAAAUUGGAUUAAUUUUUGUCCAUUCAAUUGUUAGAUUGGUUCAUGCUUUAUUGAUUAUUUUUACCAA